ensembl:lncRNA
AAUGUCUACAAAGCUCAGAUGUGUUCAUCUUAAUUCAUAGGGAAUUCUGACUUUAAGCAUACGACAGGACACAGAAUCAUUAUGUGCAAUGGAAAAAAAGAGGGAGAAUUUCACAUAACAGAUUUCACGCAAGUGUUUUGGUAUAAAACUGGUAUGUGUCAUGAGACUAUAUCAGCUCUAACAGUGACUGGGGACACAACCAGCAACUGCUCAUAGAAACACAAUUGAAGGACACAGUGUGCAAAUUGUUUUUACCUAAGGUAUAGCUGGAGGAUUCCAGACAAGUCAUUUACCGACAAAGACGGACAGGUGAUGAGUGAUGAUAUUGGCUUUCUCUGUGACCACUCUAAAUGGCACAGGGCACAUAAUAGAAAGUUGGAGUCAUGAUGUCGUUUCUAACAGGUUCAUCUCCUAGCCAGAAUCAAGAAAGGAAGACACAGCAGCCACACUGUUCCCACAGAGGUGAGGUCUGGAAAGGAUCACCCAGGCCGGGAGACAUCUGUUUGGAGUGUGCAGUCAUCCUCCUCUCAUUAUUUCCUGAACCUCACGGAAAAACCUUAAGGCAGCCUCUUUGCUUCCAUCCCGUCCAGUCUUGGAUACAGAAAAAUAAUGGACUUCUAUAAGAGUUGCAACACCACGUCGUCUACUAGACAACUAACAGUGCAGGCGUCAUCCCUGGAAACACCCAAGUCAAAUGACCACACCUGUAUUUCAAGUAAGCGACCUCCCUGCCCUGCUCCGCCAUCUCCCUGUCCCAGAUCUGAGUCUUGAUCUGGGGGAGAAAAAACACAUCCACCUUCAGUCGGAAGGUGGUGGCACACUGUGCACCAAAGAAAGAGGAGGAAACAAGAAAACACUUACCUAGUUGUCCUGAGCAUUCUUCUCGUGAACUGCAAGCGGAAAAAGCCAACAAGGAAAAGCCCGUGGUUAGGGAUUCCAAGGGCCACUACACUCACCCGCGUGAGGUGCUAAGGGUUCAGUAUGUCAGGCAGAACUCAGGUUACCUGGUAUCUAAAGGUGAGCUCUGCCUGCUGCAGCUGUUCCCGUGUUUGUUCAAUUUGUUGCCUGUGAGUUACAAUUGCUCUUGUCAGAUAAGGCCCAAUAUUGGGUAUGAUUUUAAAUAAGCUGCCCACGUUCCCACCAACCUCAUAUCUGUCCCCUGAUACAAUUUAUUCUUACACAUGAAACACUUUGCCCAUGAUUAUCAAUGUACAGUAGGAUCAAAGCUAUUGUCACAUCCUUUCCUUACUCAUUAUCCCAUGCCUGUAGGGUUCAGAGUUCAUAGAAUUCCUUCCCAUUUUCAAUCUUUCUCUAACUCAUCAUGUGACAAGUGUCUUUUAUCAUAAAGAUCUAUUCUUCUAUAACUUAUAUCCUCACCAUGUUUCCCAGGGUUGCAAAGACGAGGGCCAUGAAAUGGCACUACCACGUUGAUGGGUAUGAUUCAUUGUACGACACACUGCUUUCCUACAGAUGACGACAAUUGACACCACCCCCGAGGAAUGUUAGCAUGGACAAAGUUUCCACACAGUCUGGUCACUACUUGAGAUCUGCAAAUGUUUAGAAACUUAAUUAUUUUAUUCUUUCUAAAACUUACCUUUUUUAUCUGUUAAUACUCUAUGCAUA